rnacentral:tRNA from 1 species
GGGUCGUUAGCUCAGUUAAUAGAGCAGUUGACUUUUAAUCAAUUGGUCGCAGGUUCGAAUCCUGCACGACCCACCA